rnacentral:rRNA from 1 species
UACGUAGGCAGCGAGCGUUGUUCGGAGUUACUGGGCGUAAAGGGUGUGUAGGCGGUUGUUUAAGUUUGGUGUGAAAUCUCCCGGCUCAACUGGGAGGGUGCGCCGAAUACUGAAUGACUUGGAGUGCGGGAGAGGUGAGUGGGAUUCCUGGUGUAGCGGUGAAAUGCGUAGAUAUCAGGAGGAACACCGGUGGUGUAGACGGCUCACUGGACCGUAACUGACGCUGAGACACGAAAGCGUGGGUAGCAAACAGG